CUGAACAUCUGGUCAUGACCACAGGAGCAGGGCCUUGGAGCCCCAGGGCGGGCCCCCUGCGGUCCCCAUGGAGACACGGGAGGCAGUGGCAGCAGCAGUAGGUUAGAUGCCAUUAGAAUGUGCAGGAUGUUUUCCAAUGUGAUCCUGUGUGGCUGCAAUAGAAGCAGUGAUGCUGUUGCCUGGUCAGAUAUUCCAGCUUCUCCCCAUCCAGCACUGACAGGCAGGUGGUUCUCGAGACGACUCCCAGGGCCUCCCGUAUCCACUCUUCCUGCCAUCCACGGAUGAUCCAGCCAGGACCAUCCACGUUCUGAACCUUCUAUGAAACAAGCCAGUGACCACAACAUCAGCUGUCCUGACUGUAUUGGUCCAACCCCGCAGUCCCCGGCAAGCCUGGCUAACAGAGGCUCACAGGAAGACUGUCUGGAAUACACUAAACAAAGGAUGUUGCAGCCGUCAAGCCAUCACAUUACAGCUGCCGG